AGGUCAGGUGACAAAGGCAACAUAUAAUGGAACAAAGGCCACAACUGUUGCUUACAGAACCCAUGAUAGAACCUGCUAAAAAGAUCCGGGGGAAGAAAUGUAGGCACACAUUUGAAGGUCUCCAAAAGUAUCUGCGAGACCUCAUCUUGUUCACUAGGGUGAAUUUCUUCUCUCAAACAACCAACAUAAAUAACUUCAAUCUCAUCAUCCCCUAAUCCAUCUUUCAACUGGAGGAGGAGGGAAUUCUCAUCCCAGGUGAAAAUCCAAGACUUACUACCAUCCGAUUUUCGCUGUGCCCUUAUUGGCAGCUGNNNNNNUACAAUAAUUAUUCGGUCUUUCAGGACCGAAGAAGAUGAUGGAUCAGAGCAUACACUCUCCGACGGGUCAUCAUCUAGGUCCGAAAUUAUGCCAGCCACCGUCAUAAUCCG
rnacentral:misc_RNA from 1 species